AAAAUAGUAUCUUUGGAAAAUCUGUCCACCUAAUAAGCAACACUCUUCAUGUGACUACAUCCUUGCAAAAUACAGAUUUGAACCAUUUUGACGCAUUCACCAUCAAAGUCCACAAAAAACCCCCACUGAUUUCACACUGUAAAAAAUUACAUUUUCCCCCAUUAAUUUUAGGGGCGGGACCUGAGAUGAUGUCACUAAAAUUCGUAUUCCUCACAGCUUGAGGUUUCUGAGCGUUUAUCAGAGACAGGUGAAAUCAUGCCAAUUUCCUCAUGUUUAUGACUUAAUUUCUCUGGGCAGUGGCACCAAAAAUAAAAUGAAAUACAUCAAUAUUUUCAUAAUUCUUUAUUUAUUUAGAAUACUCAGCUCAUUUGACAUUUUAAUUACUAGUGACACAGACUUUAAGUCUAUAUAUUUGUAGAGCACAUUCAUCAGUCUGUCAGUGAUUGACAGCUGGGAUUUAUUCGUGUCAGUACAUAUUUUAUUC